rnacentral:rRNA from 1 species
AGUGAACGCUGGCGGCAGGCCUAACACAUGCAAGUCGAACGGCAGCACAGUAAGAGCUUGCUCUUAUGGGUGGCGAGUGGCGGACGGGUGAGGAAUACAUCGGAAUCUACUCUUUCGUGGGGGAUAACGUAGGGAAACUUACGCUAAUACCGCAUACGACCUACGGGUGAAAGCGGAGGACCUUCGGGCUUCGCGCGAUUGAAUGAGCCGAUGUCGGAUUAGCUAGUUGGCGGGGUAAAGGCCCACCAAGGCGACGAUCCGUAGCUGGUCUGAGAGGAUGAUCAGCCACACUGGAACUGAGACACGGUCCAGACUCCUACGGGAGGCAGCAGUGGGGAAUAUUGGACAAUGGGCGCAAGCCUGAUCCAGCCAUGCCGCGUGGGUGAAGAAGGCCUUCGGGUUGUAAAGCCCUUUUGUUGGGAAAGAAAAGCAGUCGGUUAAUACCCGAUUGUUCUGACGGUACCCAAAGAAUAAGCACCGGCUAACUUCGUGC